ACUACAUGUACAGGAUAGGUGGGAGGCUUUGAAACCAGGACGCCAGUUUUGGCGGAGCCAUCCUUGGGAUACCACCCUUGUAGUACUGGGACUCUAACCAUAGGCCAUGAAUCUGGUCUUGGGACACUGUCAGGUGGGCAGUUUGCCUGGGGCGGUCGCCUCCCAAAAGGUAACGGAGGCGCUAAAAGGUUCUCUCAGUACGGUCGGAAAUCGUACGUAGAGUGUAAAGGCAAAAGAGAGCUUGAUUGCAAGACAUACAGGUCGAGCAAGGAUGAAAAUCGGACUUAGUGAUCCGGUGGUUCUGCGUGGAAGGGCCAUCG
rnacentral:rRNA from 1 species